rnacentral:piRNA from 1 species
UGGGUAGCAAUAAAGCCAUAAACGGGACU